UGUGCAGAGCUCUCAGAUGCUUAUGAAAUGACUCCCUGGGGACAGAAGUCAGCUCUUCCUAGACUCUGAAUGCCGAGGUCAGAGGUUGAUUGAAAAAGACUUAGAAAUUUUGAAAAAGGCUUAGAAAUUUCAAGCAGGGUAGAAUUCAUAAGAGAGCCCAGCCUUUCCAGAAGAAUUGCCUCUCUUUUGGGGACUUGUGUAAUUAAAUUCUGGAGAUAAAGUGAAACUUUGGAUAAGCAAAUUUUUAUUUUGGAUUUUAAUUUACUUUAAAUAUUGUGUUGAUGUUUUUAAAAUAAGCCAACUUCAUCGAAAUAAUAGAGGUGAAAGAUGAUGGAACGUGCUUUCACCUGUGACUGCCUAACUAACGGGCACUAACAGGAGAGUCCGCGUGAUUUAUGAGAUAGCUGGUUUUGCCUUCCUCCACCAUUUAUUGAGCCUCUUCAUGCUGUUUGAUGAGGUGGACCUUUGCCAUCUCAUAGUGGCAGUAUCUGGUCACAGAUUCCACCUACUACCACUGUGGGGUGGGGGGACAGGAGUGGCUUUUUCUGAGCCCGCCAUGACCCCUGUUGUGCCCAUCCAUUGGAAGUUGUGCCAAUAGGGUUCUCUGAGUCUGGCUGCCACUGUGUCACCCAGGCGGGUGCAUGUGCUCUGGCCAGGAUCCCCUGCCCUGGCUGGCUGAUGUGCCAGGCAGGGGGACACCUUCUUUCCCACCAGCACUCCUGCUCUGCACUCGCUGGCUGCCCGCCUGGGCUGCUUGGCUUGGUUGGGGCCCCCCCGCAGUGGCUCAGCAGCCUUGGUGUGAAGCACUCCUGUGGGCUGGGAAGCAACCCCACAAGCAAAAGCAUUCCCGUGGAGGGCUGCCUUUUCCCCCUUCUCUUCUCAGAGUCAUGCGCCAGCUGCUGUACAAUGUCCUGCGUCCUAAAUGGCUGCUGCCGGGGAGAAGGAGGAGAUCCUUAGCUCCUUCCACUGCCUCCAGGGGGGGUUCAGCACCCCCACCUUCAGACGUAUGGCUGCAUGGGUCUCUCAGAUGUCUAUUGCAUUGUGGAUGUCCUCCAUCAGUUAAUGAAGUCCUUUUUGUUGGAUCUUAGUGGGGAGAGUCUAAGGGAACAGCUCACUCCACCAUGAUGCUGACGUCACCCUGAGGUAACUGUUAAAACGAACCAACAGACCCUUCCUCCUGGCUCUGGGAAUAAGAACAAGCGGCUAUUUGCAAAACUACUUGAAGGCCUUAAUUAGUGUGAGUUCACACUUAGGUUUAAUGUAAAACAGGAUCUCUUAGCAACAGAGAACUUCGAACAGUGAGACCAAAUUCCAGUGUGGACACCGCUGGAAGUGAGUGAAGAAUCACGUUUGAAGGGAAAAAGGAGAGGCUGGGAUGGAGCUCAGAAGCUGUGGAACUUGGUAAUUAGAAGAGGGACAGGAUCCACCUGAAUUAUUUCCCUAAGUGGCCUAAGUGCCUAAUUAGCAUGUUAAUCUGAAGUAACUGAGGGUCCCUAUCAAACUACUGAUGAAGGUGCAUUUGUGCUGAAAAUGGCUAAACCAAGAUCAGCAGGAGCUCUCACCCUGAGAUUUGGGCCAGGAAGGUGAACUGCGCAGCCAUCACAUGUUUACUCCUUUGAAAGAAAGUUCCCCUAGAAUCUGAAGAGCUAUACCUGGCUCCGUGACAACGCAGCCCAUGCCCAGCUCCAGACAGAGAUGGUGAAGCCCUAAGAGACCUCAGCUGAACGAUUGGGGGCCCUGAACGACAUCUAUAUAUUUAAAGAUCUAGGGUUUGCAUGUCAUUUCUAACAAGAACAAUGGAAAUGGACAUCAUUGUUUCUCCUGGUACUGGUGCCUGGGAAAUUCUGCUACUCCACUGUCAGUCAUCAUGGCGCAGACUAGGCUAAGGCCACUUCCACGCCACGUAACCAAGCCUGGCCAAUCGGAGGACCACAGCCUGGGAGCCACGGUGAUUGGCUCAAAAAUAACACAUGACCCAGCCAGCAACAGUCAGACCCAAUGAGACUGGCUAUGGUAUUGCUGGGGCUUUUAGAGGAGGGGCAUUUUCUGCCGGAGCCUCCGGGGUGAGCAGGGGAAACACCACACAGAGCCUGAAAGGAAGGUAACAGAGAAGAAGCAAACCCAGAAGUGAAAGCUGACCAGGGUUCAGCCAUGUCUACAGCCAUGCAACCUUUGGUCUUUUUGGUAACAUAAGCUAAUAAAGUCCCUUUUUUGCAUAAAUUGGUUUGCGUUGGGUUCUCUGUAGUUUGUGUAUGAAAAAAAUUCUAAUGCACCCCCAAUAUUGAUAGUUUCCUAUAGAUUUGUUGCUACUAAGUAGGUAUGAGACCCUAAUAUGCUGUCUAAAUAAGUCCAUUUUCAGACACUGGCAUGUAUCACUUUAGCUGUAGGCCCACUAACUAGCAUAUUCUGUGCCACCCUCCCAUUGUCACUUGUGUCCUUGAAGAAUAUGAGCAUUCCUCUAAUUUCAUAAAAAUGCAAGCUACUGCCUGCCAGCUGAGAUGGUGCUCUAUCCAGCCCUGGAGUCUUUGUUCUAAUAGCGGCCAUAAGGACAGUGUUUG
ensembl:lncRNA